GGCCCCGUGGUCUAACGGCUAGGAUAGCUCCCUUACACGGAGCGGGCGGCAGUUCGACUCUGCCCGGGGCCA
rnacentral:tRNA from 1 species